UUUCACGUAAAUUGGUGCAUGAUGGGGUGGGCUAGGCCCAAGGGCCAGAGCCUCAGAGACCCCGGGGCCUGGAUGCCCUAGCCAGCCUCCUCCUAAAGGGGAAGGAAGUUGGAAGAGGAAUAGGAUGGUCUCUCACCACCACUUCUCUUUCCCAAAAAAGUGAGAAGUGUGGAGAAAGGCACAGGAGAAACGUGAGGCAUCAGAGGAGACAGCAAGACAGCCCGCGUGAGAAUGAAGGAUGAAGGUGGCGGUGAAGCAGAUGAACCAGCUUCCCAAGCAUGGCGCAUUCUUAGGUUAGAAACGCUCUGCAAGACUUGGCAUGAAAACACGGCACUUUGGGAAAAUGAAACUGAGACAGGGUCUCCUUAUGUUUUCCAGACUGGUCUCAAACUCCUGGGCUCAAAGAAUCCUCCUGCCUCAGCCUCCCAAAGUGCUGGGAUUUACAGGCAUGAACCACCAUGCCCAGCCCAGCCCAGCCCACCAUUUGUCAGAAAGAAGCGAUGAUGUGUGUGCCUCAUUCUUGGAAAUAAUUCCUAGGAACAAAAGAACCAAAAUCUCAGUAACCAUCUCUGAAGGCAUCAGGAACUUAGAACCAAUAAUCUAAAACCUGAUACAGGAUCAAGAUGAGAUUCUUGAGGGAGGCCUCUCACAAGCUACCUGCUUAAACUGCAUUGCCCCACUAUGGACUCACUCUAUGAACCACUUCUUCAUGGCACUUGGCACAGUUGAAAUGUCACAUGUAUUUGUGUGAUUAUUUGCCUAAGAUUAGUUUCAAAUCCUCCCUUCCAUACACCACUUCCCCCAAGACUUAGAGGUCAAUAAAAAGCCAAUGUCCCCUUUCCCAGCACCUGGCACCAAGUAGGUAGUAUUCCAUGAAUAUUUGUUAAAGAAUGAUUUCACUUCCCAUUGUGUUAUUUUGAGAAUAUAUUUUCUGUUCCCUGAUACAUGCUUUAAUUUAGGGAAAAAGAAAAGGACCUUUUGCUUUUUGGGAGGAGGCAGUCAGAGGAUAUUGAGUCCUGUGCACAGCAGAAUCCCCAAGGGAUAAAGCGAUGAUCAUUGCCUCUUUGGUACCUGUGGCAAAGAAAGAACUGCAUGGAUUGGCCACUGGGGGCUGCGAAGUAGCUUUAGAACUUAAAAUACAGAGACUCUCAUGAAUUGAGACCCAUGAAAGCAAAAAAAAAAAAAUUAUGAAACAACAGGUUAUUGGGAAAAGAUAAUGGGUUUCAUUGUAGAUUUGUUCAGUUUGAGGAACAUUCCUGAACCUAAUACUUGAAAAAGAGCUGGAGAUUGGACAGGGUAUUAGUCUGUUCUCACAUUGCUAUAAGGAAAUACCUGAAACAAUAAUUUUAUAAGGAAUAGAGACUUCAUUGGCUCACAGUUCUGCUGGCUGUAUAAGAAGCAUGAUGGCACCUGCUUGGUUUCUGGGGAGGCUUCAGGAAACUUACAAUCAUGGCAAAAGGCAAAGGGAUAGCUAGCAUGUCUCAUGGCCAGAGCAAGAGAAAGGGGGGCAGUGGGAUAAGCUACACAUUACACAACAAGAUGUCAUGAGAACUCACUCACUAUACAAUACCAAGGGGUGAUAGUGCCAACCCAUGAGAACUCUGACCCCGUGAUCCAAUCACCUCCCACCAGGUCCUAUCUCCAACAUUAGGGCUCACAAUUAGACAUGAGAUUUGGGUAGGGCCACAGAUCCGAACCCUAUGAGGCAUCUGGAGUUGGGAGUUCACAGUGUAUAUACUUAAGAGCAAUCUCAACCGUAGACGUAAAUGAGAGUGGGCAGAGUAGGAAGAGAAGGCUAAAGAUGGAACUUGAAGGAGACUCACAUUUAAGAAGCAAGAGGAAUAAGUAGGGUGAGGGGCAGUGAGGAAUACUCAGAGAAAUGAAAGCAGAAGUAAGAAAGAGCCAGUCUCCGAAGUUAGAGGAGGGAAGAGUUUCAAGGAGGAAGUGACCUCCACCACCAAACGCAGCUAAGAGGUCAAAGGUAAGACACAAGAAAUAGUUGCUUCAAAAUGACAUAUGCUCUGAGUGUUAUGAGUUAUUUUUUCUCAAAGGAUUAUUUGUAAUGAUGUGUAUAUUCUAAAGUUCUUAAAUUUAACGUGGUAUAAGUUGCAACAAGGCAAUUUAUAAGGCUAAAAAUCUAGACACAGUGUCCACUUUGUAUUUGAACUUCUGCUUUGAACAAUUUUUAAGCCCCAUCCAGAUUUCUGUCCUCUUCCCACAAUGCUAUUUGGCCUCUCAUUUCUCUGCAUGUGUGGAAUUAGUUAUUUUGGUAAUUUUUACUGCCACUCAUAUCAGUAAAAAUAUCAGUAUAGGUUAAGUCUAAUUUAUUUUUAUAUGCUACUUAACUUCAAUGAAAUGUUAACCCCAAUUUUUGUAAAGGCUAGAAUAGCUAAUUAAGCAAAUAGGACAUGUUGGAGCCCUAUUAUCAAGUAAAAAUAUUGCUGCCAUACCUGGAACAAAUUCAUUUAUUUGCUAAAUAAAUGUUGACUAUUGAGCUGAUCAACUAAAACAUGUUUUGAAUUACCUCUGGAUUCUGUCUUUUGGAGAAUUCCACAUAAAAACCAUCAAAAGGGAGGAAAAAUUAAGCUAGAAAUACCGAAUGUUACAGAUGCCUUUCUCUUCCUUCAUAGUUUCCUUUAUUUAUUUAUUUAUUUAUUUAUUUAUUUAUUUAUUUAUUUAUUUAUUUUGAGAUGAAGUCUUGCUCUGUUGUCCAGGCGGAGUGCAGUGGCAUGAUGUCAGCCCACUAUAACCUCCUUCUCUUGGGUUCAAGACAUUGUCCAGCCUCAACCUCCCAAGUAGCUGAGAUUACAGGCAUGUGCCACCAUGCCCAGCUAAUUUUUUUGUAUUUUUAGUAGAGACAGGGUUUCACCAUGUUGCUCAGGCUGGUCUCGGACUCCUGACCUCAAAUGAUCCAUCCACUCCGGCCUCCCAAAGUGCUGGAAUUACAGGCAUCAUGAGCUACUGCACCCGGCCCCUUAGUAGUUUUCUAAUGUUUAGCUAAUCAUGAGCACAAUUGUUUGCCAGUUUCUGUCUUCUUUGUCUUUUAAACAACUAUUUUAUUGAAAGGAUUUCAGAUUCAUUAUUUCAUGGAGUGCAGUGGCGUGAUCUCAGCCCAAAAAUAGCUGGAGCCUCCCAGGUACAAGCCAUUCUCCUGCCUCAGCCUCCUGAGUAGUUGGGAUUACAGGCACCUAUCACCAUGCCCAGCUAAUUUUUGUACUUUUAGUAGAAACGGGGUUUUGCUAUGUUGGCCAAGCUGGUUUCGAACUCCUGGCCUCAGAUGAUCUGCCCAACUUGGCCUCCCAAAGUGUUAGGAUUACAGGCGUGAGCUACCUUACCUGGCCC
rnacentral:lncRNA from 1 species